UAGAUGGCGACCGGCGCACGGGUGAGUAACACGUAUCCAGCCUGCCGAUAACUCGGGGAUAGCCUUUCGAAAGAAAGAUUAAUACCCGAUGGUAUAAUAAAGCCGCAUGGUUUAAUUAUUAAAGAAUUUCGGUUAUCGAUGGGGAUGCGUUCCAUUAGGCAGUUGGUGAGGUAACGGCUCACCAAACCUUCGAUGGAUAGGGGUUCUGAGAGGAAGGUCCCCCACAUUGGAACUGAGACACGGUCCAA
rnacentral:rRNA from 1 species